rnacentral:rRNA from 1 species
GACAGAGGCCUCGAGCGUUAGGCGGAAUCACUGGGCUUAAAGCGUGUGUAGGCGGAUCGUUAAGUACCUUGUGAAAUCCCACGGCUCAACCGUGGAACGGCUGGGUAUACUGGCGGUCUUGGGCCAUUCAGGGGCGACUGGAACAAGCGGUGGAGCGGUGAAAUGCGUAGAUAUCGCUUGGAACGCCGAAGGUGAAAACAGGUCGCUGGGGAUGUGCCGACGCUGAGACACGAAAGCCAGGGGAGCAAACGGG